GCCGGCUGAGGUAGUAGUUUGUGCUGUUGGUCGGGUCGUCGUGCUGCCCCCGAUGGAGGUGACUGCGCAAUCUACUGCCUUGCCGGA
rnacentral:pre_miRNA from 1 species